UGGUGGCGAGUGGCGAACGGGUGAGUAAUAUAUCGGAACGUGCCCAGUCGUGGGGGAUAACGCAGCGAAAGCUGUGCUAAUACCGCAUACGAUCUCUGGAUGAAAGCGGGGGACUCGCAAGAGCCUCGCGCGAUUGGAGCGGCCGAUAUCAGAUUAGCUAGUUGGUGGGGUAAAAGCUCACCAAGGCGACGAUCUGUAGCUGGUCUGAGAGGACGACCAGCCACACUGGAACUGAGACACGGUCCAGACUCC
rnacentral:rRNA from 1 species